GGACCCAUUUCAUUAGUUAUUGCAUUUUACUAUAGUACACGUGUACGGUAAUUUUGGAAAGAGACCAUGUGUACUACUUUAUACAAAAGAACAAUAUUUGGUCUCUUUCAUAGUAAUGCAACUCUCCAUCUUCUCUGGUUCAGCUCUCUUUCUCUCUGAUCCUCCCUAUUCACCAUCUCCUCUUUGUCCCUCCUUGCAUAAAACUAUCAAUUUGUCCAGAAAAUUUCAAAUCGAAAAAACCCUAUUAGAAUUCUAAACCCUAGAUGAUCAUUCAAUACUCUAAAGAUGCCUAUACAAAAUUGUGAAUUUGUGAUAAAGCAGCACUAUGAAAAAAUGUCAAAGGAGUCGAGUUCUAGGAUUUCUUCGCGAUUGUCACUCUCAUAGUUGCUGCUUCUCAGCCUUCAGGCCAUCGGUCCUUGGUCCCUUUCAAGGUUUCUCCUGGGGUUCUUUGCUCUUCUUUCUGGCCUUUGCUUCCGGUUUCCUUUUCAAGUUUUCAAUUUUAAGCUGAAUUUAUUUUUUGAUGUCUACUUUCUGUUCUGGUACAAUAUCCAUCGUAGUAGAUAUCAAUGGACUGUCUGUAUCUUACUAUUGAUGCAAAUUGUAUUUUUAGAUUAUUUCUUAUACUGGAAUAGGAGAGUGCACUGAUUUGGCUUCAUUGAUGUGCUUCUUGAUUUUGGAUUUAGCCGAGCGAAGGAGAUGUUGGACCAUCUUGGAAGCAUGUUUGCAAAUAAUCUGACCAAUUUAGAGCGCACGGUUCAUUGUAGAAGCUAAAAACUCAGGUCUUUCAUAUCUUUAUUUGGCAUUUCACCAAUUUUUUUCAUUGAAAAAUGUUAUUCAAUUGCACAAGGAUACUCCAUCAGUUACUGCAUGUUCUUCUGAAUUCUGGUGUCCGAUUAUUCUAGUUCCAAAUGUAUAGCUAGAGUAUAUGCUUUUGUUUUCUAGCUAACAUGCAUUUCUUUUCCAUGUGGGAGCAAGGCGCGACUGGCUAUAAACCAUGUCUGCAGUCUGUUGAUUCAUCAUAAGCUAUAAAUCUAGUGUGAAAUCACUGUGGCACUACCAAGUUUCUUCUUGAAGUAGUCACUAUAAAUAAAAUGGAAAGUUUAAAGUAAUACAACUUUUGGGACGAUAAACUGGUGUAAUAUUUCCAUAGAAAUUGUAGUUUUCAUAUAAUACCAAUUAACUUAUGCUGUGUCGGUUUGCCCGAGGAUUGAAGGAUAUAAUGCAAUUUGAAGGUUAAGAAACUCUUCCUGGAUUCUUUUUGUAGAAAGAGGGAGCUCUAUCAGGGUAAUUUUAAGCUGCACCAGUCCAUUUCAAAGCUCGUAUUUUUUUAAGAUUGUUUGAUAUGCAAUUGUAUGUUCUUUACUCCUCCUGCUUGGUCUGAUGCGUAAGUUUUCUUUUGAAGCUCUUUUUAAGUUAUUUCGUUGUUCCUUAACAAGAAAUAUGAGUUUUAUGUGAUGGUAUUGUCAAAUCUAUUUCUGCUUCAAUUUGUAGCUAGAUGA